CCUUUCAAGAGGCAAACAGCCAGCUGGUGGCAGACAGAGGCCUGCAGCCAGGUCUCCUGCCCGUCCGUUCACUCCUCCAUCCCCCGUCCAUCUAUCCAUCCCCCGCUCAUCCCCCGUCCAUCCUUCCUUCCAUUCAUUUAUCCAUCCAUCCAUUCAUCUUCCCAAUGCCCCAACGCCCAACCAUCCACCCUUCUAUCUAUCCAUCCAUCUAUUCACCCUCGUAUCCAUCCACUAUCCACUCAGUCAGCCAGCCAGUCAGCGAGCUACCCAGAAAACAUUUAUUCAGAGCAAACUAGGCUCUGGGGCCUUGUGCAGCUGCUGGGGAAACAGAAAGAACAAGAUGGAGUUGAUGUGUGCAGUGGGCUUCAUGAUCCAUUGAGAAACCAAGUGUUUGGGGAGACUAGGGCGUUUGCUAAGAAAGAAGCCGGGAGACGCUCCAGGGAGCAGCAGAGCAGACGCAGAGCCGUGUGCGCCGUUCCCCGCCCACCGAGGACCCAGUUUGCUGCAGCCUCAGACCUGGGCUUCUCCUUUAGCGCUACUGACAUCUUUGGACAAGUCAAUUCUCCGCUUAGCUACAUCCCUGGCCUCUGCCCACUGGGUGCCUGCAGAAACUGUGACCACCACAAAUACCUCCAAGCAUUGCCCGACGUCUCUUGGGGGCCAAAGUUGCCCUCAGUUGAGAUGCUCUGUGUUAGAGGCUAGAGAGGCAAAGCAUAAAAAGUGCAUCUUUUUAAAGGUGCUCAUGGUCCUCCCAGAACCUUGGUGGCACAGAAGUUGGUGGGGACGGGAUGGAAAGCAAGCCUGCUACAGCAAGCACUCGGUGCAGUGGCAUCUGAGACUCUCGAAACCACAAGCAAAGGCCUGGAAAGCGUAAGACUAUCCAGGCAGGGUUAACAGUGUGAGGUAGAUUGCUACUCUUAAAUAUAUAUCAAUAAUAUACAUGUGUGCGUGUAUAUAUAAAUGGUCAAUAGCAUAUUGAAUUUGUUCACACUGUUUACCCAGCAUAAUUUGCAGUUGGUCUGUAUUUGAUUAAGUGCCAUCAUCUUUUAUGUACGAGUUACAUAAGUAAAUAGAAAAAUCAUUUACAGUCCAACGCCCCAUGAAAAAUUAAUCUCAGGUCUGUCCCACACGGCCAUUCUGAGUCGAGCCGUGUGGCUCAUUGAAUGUCGGGCGGGGGUGGGGGUGUCAUGCGAGAUGCUCUGCAAACUCCAUUCCUCCAUCUUAAUAAGCUGGAAUCUUCAAGAAUGUUCCUCGAAUGUGUGGAUUCAAAACUAUAGUUGAUGGUUUUUUAAUCAAGUAAAUCUUGCAAAAGUUUCAAAACAACAAAUUAUUUAGUAUGUUUCAAGAAUGUUCCUCGAAUGUGUGGAUUCAAAACUAUAGUUGAUGGUUUUUUAAUCAAGUAAAUCUUGCAAAAGUUUCAAAACAACAAAUUAUUUAGUAUGUUGCCAGACCGGGAGCUUCUCCUGGGAA
rnacentral:lncRNA from 1 species